rnacentral:piRNA from 1 species
AUCUUGGUUGGUGCUAAAGAGACCGAA